UUUUUUUUUUUUUUUUUUUUUUUUUUUUUCUUCU
rnacentral:ribozyme from 12 species